GACGAACGCUGGCGGCGUGCUUAACACAUGCAAGUCGAACGGAAAGGCCCUGCUUUUGUGGGGUGCUCGAGUGGCGAACGGGUGAGUAACACGUGAGUAACCUUCCCUUUACUUUUGGAUAACUUCAGGAAACUGGGGCUAAUACCGGAUAGGUGCUCCUGCUGCAUGGUGUGGGUUGGAAAGUUUCGGCGUUUGGGGAUGUACUCGCGGCUUAUCAGCUUGUUGUUUGGGUAGUGGCUUACAAAGGAUUUGACGGGUAGCCGGCCUGAGAGGGUGACCGGCCACAUGGGAACAGAGAAACGGCCCGACGCCUACGGGAGGCAGCAGUGGGGAAUAUUGCACAAUGGGCGGAAGCCUGAUGCAGAAACGCGGCGUGCGGGAUGACGGCCUACGGGUUGUAAACCGAUUUCGACUGUGACGAAGCGUGAGUGACGGUAAUGGGUAAAGAAGCACCGGCUAACUACGUG
rnacentral:rRNA from 1 species